CCGGCGACCGGCGCACGGUGAGUAACACGUAUGGAACCUGCCCGCAGCAGGGGGAUAAGCGGAAGAAAUUCCGUCUAAUACCGCGUAACACCGCGGAGGGGCAUCCCUCGGCGGUUAAAGAUUCAUCGGCUGCGGAUGGCCAUGCGGCGCAUUAGCUAGUCGGCGGGGUAACGGCCCACCGAGGCGACGAUGCGUAGGGGUUCUGAGAGGAAGGUCCCCCACACUGGUACUGAGACACGGACCAGACUCCUACGGAAGGCAGCAG
rnacentral:rRNA from 1 species